rnacentral:rRNA from 1 species
AGUGAACGCUGGCGGUAGGCCUAACACAUGCAAGUCGAACGGCAGCACAGUAAGAGCUUGCUCUUACGGGUGGCGAGUGGCGGACGGGUGAGGAAUACAUCGGAAUCUACUUUUUCGUGGGGGAUAACGUAGGGAAACUUACGCUAAUACCGCAUACGACCUACGGGUGAAAGCAGGGGAUCUUCGGACCUUGCGCGAUUGAAUGAGCCGAUGUCGGAUUAGCUAGUUGGCGGGGUAAAGGCCCACCAAGGCGACGAUCCGUAGCUGGUCUGAGAGGAUGAUCAGCCACACUGGAACUGAGACACGGUCCAGACUCCUACGGGAGGCAGCAGUGGGGAAUAUUGGACAAUGGGCGCAAGUCUGAUCCAGCCAUACCGCGUGGGUGAAGAAGGCCUUCGGGUUGUAAGGCCCUUUUGUUGGGAAAGAAAAGCAGCAGGUUAAUACCCCGCUGUUCUGACGGUACCCAAAGAAUAAGCACCGGCUAACUUCGUG